rnacentral:rRNA from 1 species
CUGCCUGCCCAGUGACUAUAUGUUCAACGGCCGCGGUAUUCUGACCGUGCGAAGGUAGCGUAAUCACUUGUCUUUUAAAUAAAGACUGGUAUGAAUGGCCUCACGAGAGCCUUACUGUCUCCCUUAUUUAAUCAGUGAAAUUGAUCUUCCCGUGCAGAAGCGGGAAUUUUACCAUAAGACGAGAAGACCCCAUGGAGCUUAAAACUAAAAACCAUCUGCUUAAACAUUCCUCCUACGGGGUCACUUUUUAACAUUGCAGACAAUGGUCUAAGUUUUCGGUUGGGGUGACCACGGAGAAAAAUAAAUCCUCCUUGAUGAAUAAUUCAUUUAAACCACGAGCUACCGCUCUAAGUAUUAGAACUUCUAACUAAAUUGAUCCAAUAAUUUUGAUCAACGGACCAAGUUACCCUGGGGAUAACAGCGCAAUCCAUUUCAAGAGUCCAUAUCGACAAAUGGGUUUACGACCUCGAUGUUGGAUCAGGGUAUCCCAGUGGUGCAGCCGCUACUAAAGGUUCGUUUGUUCAACGAUUAAAACCCU